UUGUUUCACGGCAGCCCUCUUUUCCAUGGUGCAUCAGUGCCCUAUUGCUGUAUGAUUAAUUGGCUGUCGACGUCGCGGUCGCCUUGAGAUGGACGCUGCGCCGUGUUGGACGCCUGCAGGGGUGAGCCGCUGCCGGGCCGAAUGCCAUCGACGUCGUGCUGCUGGAGGGCAUCGUGGCCGCACUCGCCUGCAGGGCCACAGGUAGCCGGGCCAGACGGCACCGCUGCGUCACGCGUUGCACGCCCAGUAGUGCUUCACCGGAUGGCCUCAGAAGUCAGGGACAGCAGCGACGGGCCGAGGGUGCCGUGCGGAUCUGUGGACCGCGGCCGAGUAGUGCUUCACCGGAUGAUCGCCGCGUUGGUAUGCAGCAGCGGCACCGCGCCCUCUGCCCAGGCAUUCCUUCUGGGCCGUGUUGAUUGUUUCGACUCCGUUGCAUUCAUACUCGAUUUUCAGGCUAGGUGUUGUCUUCCUCGACUUCCGUCGCUCCGGGUUUGCAUCUAGCGCCGUGUUUUCGACCUCUCCGACUGAGCCACACGGUUGCCACCCACAUGCACCCCUCUGGCAUUCCCAGUCCGGCCUCGGUGGUUAACCCGCUGCUCUGCUGCUCUGCGGUUAACCUGUAAAAACCUGUACAAUGUGCCUGUACGUGUAGCAUUUUUGUUGCCGGAUUCUAUUCUCUCUGGUUCCCUCACGGCUGCGCUUCUUUCUCUGUCGCGGCAAGAGUCGUUGUUCAGGGAUGUUACAUGGAUCUGGGUGCCGGAGCAGGUCGGGGAAUGGAGGCCUGUGAUGGACGUCGUGCAUGCAAAGGGCGGGCAGCAGCCAGUAGGUUAGCCCGCUUCGACGGCUGACAUCGACGAGGAGGCAGGGCUCUGAGGAGAUGUCCAACGUCAUUGACAGGUUCAGACGCGCCGACUAGAGCGUCGUCGAAGCCCGCCUUGACGGUGUGAAGAUUCUUGGUGCCAAUGGCUACUUCCUGGAUGAUGAACACGAUCGCAAAGAAGCCAGGCGGCCGGUGGAGGUUCGCUGGAGGUGAUGGAUGCCAGCUGGUGCAUGCGUCAAGGACGUGGUCACCAGGUGGGCAUGCGGCUGCAGCAGUAUAGUUCACGACCGAGCCCUCCACAUAAGCACGCGCUGGUGCUACACGUCGUGAGCCUUCUCAACGGCCACGGCGUGAUCUAUUUUAGUUUGCCUAACUUUAUUGUAAUGGGGAUGAAUCUAUUUUAUAAUUGGGUGCAUAAGCUACAUCUUUGCCCUACUAAAUAUGUCAUGUAUUUCAUGAUAUAUAUGUGAUAUAUAUGGGCUCGCUCUCGGUGAGACGAGGCCGGUAA